rnacentral:rRNA from 1 species
CCUACGGGAGACAGCAGUGAGGAAUAUUGGUCAAUGGGCGUAAGGCUGAACCAGCCAAGUCGCGUGAGGGAUGAAGGUUCUAUGGAUUGUAAACCUCUUUUGUAAGGGAGUAAAGUGCGGGUCGGGUCCUGCUGUGAAAGUACCUUAUGAAAAAGGAUCGGCUAACUCCGUGCCAGCAGCCGCGGUAAUACGGAGGAUUCGAGCGUUAUCCGGAUUUAUUGGGUUUAAAGGGUUGGUAGGCGGCCUUAUAAGUCAGCGGUGAAAUUCUGUGUCUCAACCCUCGAACGGCCGUUGAACCUGGGAGGAUUGAGUACGUUGAGGGCAGGCGGAAUGCGUGGUGUAGCGGUGAAAUGCUUAGAUAUCACGCAGAACCCCGAUUGCGAAGGCAGCCUGCCAGGCCAUGACUGACGCUGAUGCACGAAAGCGUGGGGAUCAAACAGGAUUAGAUACCCUUGUAGUC